rnacentral:rRNA from 1 species
AGGACGACCGCUGGCGGCGUGCUUAACACAUGCAAGUCGAGCGGUAAGGCCUUUCGGGGUACACGAGCGGCGAACGGGUGAGUAACACGUGGGUGAUCUGCCCUGCACUCUGGGAUAAGCCUGGGAAACUGGGUCUAAUACCGGAUAUGACCUGCUCUCGCAUGGGGGUGGGUGGAAAGAUUUAUCGGUGCAGGAUGGGCCCGCGGCCUAUCAGCUUGUUGGUGGGGUAAUGGCCUACCAAGGCGACGACGGGUAGCCGACCUGAGAGGGUGACCGGCCACACUGGGACUGAGACACGGCCCAGACUCCUACGGGAGGCAGCAGUGGGAAUAUGCACAAUGGGACGAAAGCCUGAUGCAGCGACGCCGCGUGAGAGAUGGAAGGCCUUCGGGUUAGUAAACCUCUUUCAGCGAGGACGAAGCGACAAGUGACGGUACCUGACAAGAAGAAGCACCGGCUAACUACGUGCCAGCACGCCGUACGGUAAUCGUAGGA